AUGCUUUCUGGGCCUGGGGGCCCAGAUCCCCUGAAGCCCAGGAACAUAACAUGUAUUUCAGCAUUGGCUACCUCCAAAUGCUGGAAAAUCCAGGCUAAUGUUCUGUCUGGGCUCAGAUGCCCACAUAAUCCUGUCGCCCAGACCACAGUCUAACUCGGUGACUUUCUCUGGCUAGACAAGGUUUCAAAGCAACAUGUGUUCAAUUGCUGGGUGUGGGGCCAGACUGCCGCUCAGUCCCAAGGGAGACUGCAAGGUCCCAUCUGGCCUUCACUAUGAGUCCCAACCCUGUUCUAACUUGCUUCCAAGUGCCCACCACUCCCUGGCCCCUCCCCAGACCUGCUGAGAGGGAGGAAGGGGCCACAUGGCAGCUCUUCACCUGGGGUCCUGAGGUGACCACACUGGCCUGCCCCACCAGUGACUAUGCUGUACUGAGCGUUGAACCAUUCAACCAAAUUCAGGGAAAUGGUUUGUUGAACUUUGAAGCAACUGUGAAUUCAUCCUGGAGAGACGGUGGAGAUCAAAUGUGACAGAGCCUUGGGUGAAGGGCCUGGAAUAGCUGAGACCCUGAUUUGAGACUUUUCAACACCCCUCCAGUCUUGCCUUCGAGGGGCUCAGAUAUUUCUGGAGCAGAAGACCCCUCCCCACCUCUGCCUCACCUGGUCACCCAUGCCUGUUCUUUCUCUUCUCUGUGUACCCCUUAUCUCUUGACUUAGAGGCACCCAAGGUGUGGCCCUGAGCAAGUCAGGCCACUGUCCAAACCCAAUCAUGACUGCAUCACAGAGCCUAACCAUUUUCCUUCACACUUUGUUGCCGCAUCUCAGGGAACUGACCCUCAGGCACACCUUUUAGAAAAGGCAAGGCCCCUGCCCUGCCCAAGAUCUGUGGUCAUUUGUGCUUUUCCCACUUUCGGCCACAAAUGGAACAUUCCAGGUCAAACAUGCCUUGGGGAAGUGGCACCAACCAGCAGAGAAGGGCAGGGAAGGAGGCAAACUGUCUUGCUCACCCUUCAUUAUGGACCAAGGUUCUCACUCUGGGAAAGGCCCUCACACUGCAGGGGUUUGUAGAUAACACUGACUUUUUUUUUUUUAACCAGUACUAGUUUUUCACAAUUUUUUUACUAAUAUUUAACAAGUUUCUAGAUCUCACAAACAUAUAGAAAAAGGGUUUUUACAUAACAAGCAGGUUGCUUUUUAGGUUAACAAUUUUAAUUCAGGUUUUAUUGUUGGAUAAACAAUUCUUGUAACCUUCUAUUUCCUAUCUUUGUAGUGACUGAUCUAUGGAUAAUGAUUAUAUAUUGACCACACUGGUGCAUGAGACGUACUGUAUUUUUUUUAUACCUAAAUAAAGAAA